UACAGAGGUCUCGAGCGUUAGGCGGAAUCACUGGGCUUAAAGCGUGUGUAGGUGGAUGCCUAAGUACCUUGUGGAAUCCCACAGCUUAACUGUGGAACUGCUUGGUAUACUGGGUGUCUUGAGUCACUCAGGGGCGAGCGGAACAAAUGGUGGAGCGGUGAAAUGCGUAGAUAUCAUUUGGAACGCCAAUGGUGAAAACAGCUCGCUGGGGGUGCACUGACACUGAGACACGAAAGCCAGGGGAGCGAACGGG
rnacentral:rRNA from 1 species